UGUCCUAUGGUGUAAUGGUAGCACUGCAGAUUCUGGCUCUGCCUGUCUAGGUUCGAAUCCCGGUAGGACAA
rnacentral:tRNA from 1 species